GACGAACGCUGGCGGCGUGCCUAAUACAUGCAAGUCGAACGCAGUGGGGACGGGUGAGUAACACGUGGGUAACCUCCCAUCAGAGGGGAUAACACUUGGAAACCGGUGCUAAACCGAUACUGAUGGAUGAACCCGCGGUGCAUUAGCUAGUUGGUGCGGUAACGGCUCACCAAGGGCACGAGGCAUAGCCGAGCUGGGGGGGUGAGCGCCACACUGGGACUGGGACACGGCCCUGACUCCUAGGGAAGGCAGCAGUAGGGAAUCGUCGGCAAGGGACGAAAGUCUGACCGAUCAACGCCGCGUGAGUGCAGAAGGUUUUCGGAGCGUAAAACUCUGUUGUUAGAGAAGCGGUAUCUAACCAGAAAGCCACGGCUAACUACGUGCCAGCAGCCGCGGUAAUUC
rnacentral:rRNA from 1 species